UGAGGAUUUUUAAAGUUCUGACAUAUGUUUUUAUGCCAGAUGAUGCCAGGAACAAAUUCUCGAGAAGAAACAAGCACCAGACCAUCUAAGGAUCUUCAUACUAGAAAAAUCAUAACACUAGAUGAUGGAUUUACCAUUGAUGCACUGAAGGUCCGAGUGGACUACACAAGCGGAUAGUGAGAAUCUCUUGAGCAGAGACAUAGAGUGGUUUCAUUGGUGGCAAAAAUGGACUUCUGGUAGAAAGGAACUAGC